rnacentral:rRNA from 1 species
UGCCAGCAGCCGCGGUAAUACAGAGGGUGCAAACGUUGUUCGGAAUUACUGGGCAUAAAGCGUACGUAGGCGGCUUUGUAAGUGUGAAGUGAAAUCCCACGGCUCACCCGUGGAACUGCUUUGCAUACUGCAAUGCUAGAGGACGGUAGGGGAGAGCGGAACUCCUGGUGGAGCGGUGAAAUGCGUAGAUAUCAGGAGGAACACCGAUGGCGAAGGCAGCUCUCUGGUCCGUUUCUGACGCUGAGGUACGAAAGCUAGGGUAGCGAACGGGAUUAGAUA